UCUCGGAAUGGAAGCGCUUUACCUUAAUCUGAGCUGGAAAGUGCUGACAUUUCGAGGAU
rnacentral:pre_miRNA from 1 species